CAGUGCGAUCAUACCAGCACUAAUGCACGGAUCCCAUCAGAACUCCGCAGUUAAGCGUGCUUGGGCGAGAGUAGUACUAGGAUGGGUGACCUCCUGGGAAGUCCUGUGUUGCACCUCUUUUUGCCAAAAUUUUACGUCGCUUUUGAAAAAUAAACUUCGAUUGUAUUCAUUUUUUCCGUUAAUUUACGCAACCUAAAACUCUAUUCGUUAAUUAGCGUAGUUUGACGUCUUUUUUGAAAAAUAAACUUAGAAUGCAUAUAUACAAUUACAACGCUUUACUCUCAGGUGCGAUCAUACCAGCACUAAUGCACCGGAUCCCAUCAGAACUCCGCAGUUAAGCGUGCUUGGGCGAGAGUAGUACUAGGAUGGGUGACCUCCUAGGAAGUCCUUGCAAUGCACCUAUUUUUGCCAAAAUUUCUUGUUCUUUUUGUUAAUUAGCGUAAUUUUACGUCGUUUUUGAAAAAUAAACUUCGAUUGUAUUUCAUUUUUUUCCGUUAAUUUACGCAACCUAAAACUUAUUCGUUAAUUAGCGUAGUUUGACGUCUUUUUUGAAAAAUAAACUUAGAAAUGCAUAUAUACAAUUACAAUGCUUUACUCUGAGGUGCGAUCAUACCAGCACUAAUGCUUCGGAUCCCAUCAGAACUCCGCAGUUAAGCGUGCUUGGUCGAGAGUAGUACUAGGAUGGGUGACCUCCUGGGAAGUCCUUGUGUUGCACCUCUUUUUGCCAAAAUUUUACGUCGCUUUUGAAAAAUAAACUUCGAUUGUUUUUAUUUUUUCCAUUAAUUUACGCAACCUAAAACUCUAUUCGUUAAUUAGCGUAAUUUGACGUCUUUUUUGAAAAAUAAACUUAGAAAUGCAUAUAUACAAUUACAACGCUUUACUCUCAGGUGCGAUCAUACCAGCACUAAUGCUUCGGAUCCCAUCAGAACUACGCAGCUAAGCGUGCUUGGUCGAGAGUAGUACUAGGAUGGGUGACCUCCUGGGAAGUCCUUGUGUUGCACCUCUUUUUGCCAAAAUUUUACGUCGCUUUUGAAAAAUAAACUUCGAUUGUAUUUCAUUUUUUCUGUUAAUUUACGCAACCUAAAACUCUAUUCGUUAAUUAGCGUAGUUUGACGUCUUUUUUGAAAAAUAAACUUAGAAAUGCAUAUAUACAAUUACAACGCUUUACUCUCAGGUGCGAUCAUACCAGCACUAAUGCUUCGGAUCCCAUCAGAACUACGCAGCUAAGCGUGCUUGGUCGAGAGUAGUACUAGGAUGGGUGACCUCCUGGGAAGUCCUUGUGUUGCACCUCUUUUUGCCAAAAUUUUACGUCGCUUUUGAAAAAUAAACUUCGAUUGUAUUUCAUUUUUUCCGUUAAUUUACGCAACCUAAAACUCUAUUCGUUAAUUAGCGUAGUUUGACGUCUUUUUUGAAAAAAAACUUAGAAAUGCAUAUAUACAAUUACAACGCUUUACUCUCAGGUGCGAUCAUACCAGCACUAAUGCACCGGAUCCCAUCAGAACUCUGCAGUUAAGCGUGCUUGGGCGAGAGUAGUACUAGGAUGGGUGACCUCCUGGGAAGUCCUUGUGUUGCACCUCUUUUUGCCAAAAUUUUACGUCGCUUUUGAAAAAUAAACUUCGAUUGUAUUUCAUUUUUUCCGUUAAUUUACGCAACCUAAAACUCUAUUCGUUAAAUAUCGUAGUUUGACGUCUUUUUUGAAAAAUAAACUUAGAAAUGCAUAUAUACAAUUACAACGCUUUACUCUCAGGUGCGAUCAUACCAGCACUAAUGCACCGGAUCCCAUCAGAACUCCGCAUUUAAGUGUGCUUGGGCGAGAGUAGUACUAGGAUGGGUGACCUCCUAGGAAGUCCUUGCGUUGCACCUCU
rnacentral:lncRNA from 1 species